GAAUAUUUACAUAGUAAAACAUAGGCAUUUUUAAGUUAGAUCCAAAAAUGGCGAUGUACGAACGGGACUCUUUAAAAAGUUCCCAUGCAAGGCCGUUCAAUUAUCUUAUUAUAUGUACAAUUAUUUAACAAUUAUUCGCGGAAGGCGAGGUGAUAUAUGGGUGAAUAAAAACCAAGACAAAGUCGAGGUUUUUAUUCACGAUAAUCACCGGGCCUGAGGUGAAUAAUUGUUUUAGUAUGAUUUCAUAGGUGAUUAUUUGGAAAAAAUGAAAAAUACACAUUUCUUCGUCAUUUAAUUGACAAAACGGCUUCGGCCGCCAUUUUGAAAAUCGCGUAGGUGAUUAUCGCGUUUUAUUAUAUAAAGUAUAGUGCU
rnacentral:lncRNA from 1 species